CAAUAAGCGGCGGGCACAGAUUAAUCCCUAAGCCAGAGAGAUCUGAUUCUGGUGAGAACAUCUCAAGAAGUAAGAAGGGGAAGCACAUAAGCAGGACUGGCUCCAGACGGAGCAGCGUGUUGAAAAGGAGCCAUUUCUGGUCCCCCAGAAGAAGUACACACCACACCCACAGGAACUGAUGUGUUUAAAUCAUUACCCAGGACUGCAAUUGAUCCUAAAAUUUGAGAUUUACACAGGAGAAGUAUCCCAGGAGAUCUACAAACUGAGCAGCCUUUCUUCCAUAGGCUGGGAGCUCUGGCCAGAUGGACCACAUGAGAUCCAGCAGUAACUCCUGCUGGGACUUGUUGGAAUUCCUGUUGGGUGGAUUACAGACAAU